rnacentral:rRNA from 1 species
UGGGGAAUUUUGGACAAUGGGCGAAAGCCUGAUCCAGCAAUGCCGCGUGUGUGAAGAAGGCCUUCGGGUUGUAAAGCACUUUUGUCCGGAAAGAAAUCCUUGGCUCUAAUACAGUCGGGGGAUGACGGUACCGGAAGAAUAAGCACCGGCUAACUACGUGCCAGCAGCCGCGGUAAUACGUAGGGUGCAAGCGUUAAUCGGAAUUACUGGGCGUAAAGCGUGCGCAGGCGGUUUGCUAAGACCGAUGUGAAAUCCCCGGGCUCAACCUGGGAACUGCAUUGGUGACUGGCAGGCUAGAGUAUGGCAGAGGGGGGUAGAAUUCCACGUGUAGCAGUGAAAUGCGUAGAGAUGUGGAGGAAUACCGAUGGCGAAGGCAGCCCCCUGGGCCAAUACUGACGCUCAUGCACGAAAGCGUGGGGAGCAAACAGGAUUAGAUACCCUGGUAGUCCACGCCCUAAACGAUGUCAACUAGUUGUUGGGGAUUCAUUUCCUUAGUAACGUAGCUAACGCGUGAAGUUGACCGCCUGGGGAGUACGGUCGCAAGAUUAAAACUCAAAGAAUUGAC